GCUUCUUGAGUGUUGCUGAAGUUGAACUCUUCCAGAGUCUGAGAUCUACCACUGCCGGGGGAUGGGAUAAGAGACAUGACAAGAGUUCACGAGAUUCCCAAGAACUACAACCUGACCAAGAAUUGAUGGGAGCAAAAGCAGUGGAACGGCAGCAGUACAAUGAAGAAACAUUGGCCUGAAUUUUAUGACAUGGGGAGUAUUGAGCAGCUCAAUUGAAAACAAUAAUGAACAUUAGGGCUUUUAAAUACUGACUCUCACACAGGAAGCACUUAUGUGGGAAGUUUAAAACUUUCAAUUGACAGUUUUAAUUCCCAACGAUAGGGUGUUCAGGUGACCAGAGCCACUGGAACCUAUGCUAUUUGGGCUAUACUUACUUUACUUUUUAAAAAACAUUUACCAAGAGCCUUUCCAAGCAGAUAUAAUGCCUGCUGAGAAGGACAGCCUUCAAUAAAUCAGCUUGAGUCCCAAUGCACUGCAUCACCACAGUAGCCCCUAUACAGCUCACCCCAUCCAAACAAUGUUCAUCCCCUUCAGACAAUGUUUGCAGACCACUGAACCCAUCCAUUGCCAAAGUCCACCCACCUCUCAGCUAUGUCGGUCCUCUUCCAAUAACAUUCAACUCCAAGUCUCCCAAAUCAUCUCUGGAAUCCAUGGCUCCUGUCAGAGCAAUAUUGAACCUCAUAGAAUCACUAUACAUUUUAGAUACUUCCAUGGGUAAUCAGGAUCCUUAGGUAGGAUGUAUGACAUAAGCUUUUGACUUAUACACAGCUACACACCUCCAAUAUUGGCCAUAUACCAUCUGCAUUCUCCUUUAUUUUUCCACAAUUUUUUUCUAAGAAUUUGGACAAAUAAUGGUUCGAAAAGAUUGUCCCAAUCUACCUCCUGAACAUUACUUAUGCUAAAUCAAUGUCUAAAGAUGAUGCUGUUUAGUACAGCAGAGAACUUGCUGUCUUGCUGUAUGUCACAAUCUUUAUGCCAUAUGGCCUUUUAAAAGCUGAAUCCUACUCAGCUUGCAAACACUUACAAAGCUCUGCUGAUUGUUGCUUGGUUUCUCAAAGAUUGAGCAUUGAAUAGUGGUCACUGACUCAUUGACAGCAACCAGCCUCUCAUUGACCUGCAGCUCUAUGAAGUGGAAAUCCUGUCUCCAGAAUAUAAACAACUGUGAGGCAACUGCUUUUCACUUGGACAGGAUCUCUCACCUGACUUUUCAACCAGGGUAAUUCUGGACAACAGUAGCCCAUAUAAUUUAGCCAAAUGACUGGGCAUUGGAGCUCAGAAUGAAGUUUGGGAAAUUGUUUGCUGCCAUGUAAGCUCAGAUUGUCGCUACUAUUGCUGCAGUCACCAGUGUGCAAAGGGUCUUACAGGAUUGUACAAAGGUCCAGCAAUCGAUCCAGUAGCAUAUUUCUAGGAUUACUUAACCACUACCAUGUUGGAAUGGCAGUGGCUUAGUGAAAUAAGGAUCUGUUGCACUCAGGAUGACAGCAUUCCUACUCCCACCAAUGUCUCUCCACCAGUGAUCUUGCUGUUACUUGCUCCAUUUGCCAACCAUCCUAGACUGCUGCUGUGCAUGCUCAGGUUGUAUUGUUUGAAACCUUCUCAAGUCCAAAGCUAUUUUAUAUCAUCUUGCAAUGCCACCUGCAGUCACCCUCACUGAAAUCUGGCAGGCUUUCACCAGGUAUGCUGUUCCUAUUGGGUAGGAGCACUAGGCCAAGCAAAAACAAAUGGAAGAUGGGGACUAAUCAUUUGCACAAGAGCAAUUAGUUGACUUUUCUUUUCAACAUUAGAUAGCUUGAUUGAUAAUAUUAGUUUGGAAUGUCUGUUUGUGCUGGCUUAUUCUUUCAUAUUGUAGCCAAGUGGUGCCAGGAUAGUCAGAAUUGAGGGAAGGCAAGAUGUGAAAUUGGUGGCGAAUGGGUUUUGGAGUCAUUUUCACCAGUGCUGUAGUUAAGACGAGCAAGGGAUAGACAGGUCAGCAGGAAAGGAAACAAAAACAGAAAUUGCUAGAGAAACUCAGCAUGUCUGGCUGCAUCUAUGGAGAGAAAGCAAAAUUAAUAUUUUGUGUCCAGUGAACCUUUUUCAGAACUGUAGCUACGAGAGGGUUGGUAUAUAUGCUGAAGAUGUGGUGUGGGAACUGGGGAGGAGUAAACAAUAGGUGGAGAUGGCGCCAAGAGAGAGAGAACAAAAAUUGGGCAGACAAAGAAUGGUUAAUGGUCAGCCUGGGAGAAUCAAUGGCUACUAUGGGGACUACGAGUAGCUGACAAUAUGUUGGUUGUGGUAGCAAACCAUGUGAUGACAAGGCCUGGUGUGUGGGAGUUGGGGGAAAGGCAUGGAGGAAGGUGCUCAGGUCACACAAUUAUUGAAUUUGAUAUUGAGUCCUGAAGGCUGUAGGGUCCCCAAGUGGAAAAUGAGAUGCUGUUCUCCCAGCUUGCAUUGAAGUACUGUAGUGGCCAAGGAACAGGGUGGUCCAUUGAAGUGACAGGUAACUGGAAGCUCAGGAUCAUUUUUGUGGACAAAAUGUAGGUAUUCUGCAAAGUGGUCGUCCAGUCUACAUUUCCUCUCCCCAAUGUUGAUUAGACCACAUUGUGAGCAAUGAAAACAGCAGAUUGAGUGAACUGCAGGUAAAUAGCUACUUCACCUGAAAGGUGUGUCUUGAAUCUUGGAUAGUGAGGAAGAGGAAGUAAAUGGGGAGGUGUUACCUGUGAUUGCAAGGGAAGGUGCCAUGGGGGUCUUGGGAGUGGAAGAGGAGUGGACCAAGGUGUUCCAGAGGGAACAGUCCCUGCGGAAGGCUGAGAAGGGAGGCAAAGGGUGGUGUCUGAUGGUGGCACCCUGCUGGAGGUGGCAGAAAUGGUGGCUAAUGGUCCUUUGGAUGCUGAUGGGGUUAUAAGUGAGGAGUAGAGGAACCUUUCAGUGUUGUGGGAGAGAGCAGAAGGGUCGAGGUGAAUCCUUAGUUGAGGAAGAAAUGGACAUGUCAGAGGCACCCUUGUAGAUGCUGGCAUCAUUGGAACAGAUGCAAGAGAGAUGGAGAAACUGGGAGAAUGGAAGGUAGUAUUUCUAGGAAGCCAGGUAUGAGGAUGUAUAGUCCAAAUACUUGUGAGGGUCAGUGGGUUUAUAGUGGAUAUUGAUGGCCAACCUAUCCCCAGAAAUAUAAAUAGAGAUGUCCUCCUAUCUAUCCCUGACCAUGAUCCUAUCAUUGAACACUAGGCUGACUUUCAACAGCAAUCUCUGUUUUUGUUUCUGAUUUU